GAUGAACGCUGGCGGCGUGCCUAAUACAUGCAAGUCGAGCGAACAGACGAGGAGCUUGCUCCUCUGACGUUAGCGGCGGACGGGUGAGUAACACGUGGAUAACCUACCUAUAAGACUGGGAUAACUUCGGGAAACCGGAGCUAAUACCGGAUAAUAUAUUGAACCGCAUGGUUCAAUAGUGAAAGACGGUUUUGCUGUCACUUAUAGAUGGAUCCGCGCCGCAUUAGCUAGUUGGUAAGGUAACGGCUUACCAAGGCAACGAUGCGUAGCCGACCUGAGAGGGUGGUCGGCCACCCUGGAACUGAGACACGGUCCAGACUCCUACGGGAGGCAGCAGUCGGGAAUCUUCCGCAAUGGGCGAAAGCCUGACGGAGCAACGCCGCGUGAGUGAUGAAGGUCUUCGGAUCGUAAAACUCUGUUAUUAGGGAAGAACAAAUGUGUAAGUAACUAUGCACGUCUUGACGGUACCUAAUCAGAAAGCCACGGCUAACUACGUG
rnacentral:rRNA from 1 species